rnacentral:rRNA from 1 species
AUGAGUAUAUUUCUUGUCACAGCCCUGGUGGUCUGCCUUGUCAGCCAUGGAGCCGACAUGGCCACAGCUUCGGCAGCUUGGGAUGACCAAGAUUUCUUCAGAAACUGUCCGCCGUCCCGGUGCAGCAAGGAUGGACCCGAGAUCCGGUUCCCACUCCGGCUUGAUUCCAGCAAUACAUCUUCAUCCUGCGGUGCAACAUGUGCGAAGCUAGCAUGCUCAGGCCAAUCCACUAUCAUGCUUCACCCACUUCUUGGCCCAUGCAAUGUCAACGCCAUAAAUUACACCGGUGCCCUCCUCAACAUCACCCCGCUUACCUCCGCGUGCACAAUGAUUCAGAAUCUCAUAUCGACAAGUUCACCACCGGCUGACACUGGCCACCACUGUACUCCACAUUAUAGCAGAUCUGGAAGGCUUGUAGGCUGCUCAAGGGAGUUCACGCCAAGCGGGAUUACUCAGUAUCCCGUCUAUGACGAGAGAGGCAGUUACUAUGCUUCUGCCUCAGCUGCCGAUACUAUCGCCGGCCCAAUCUCCUGCCUUAGCAACAAAACCCACUUCUCGUAUUUGGUGGCAACUUAUGCAUUCAUGUAUUAUCUUCCAUUAGACUGCAAGGUCAUAUCAGAUGUCGCCCUCCCGAUAUUUGGCACAGGAUAUUAUGGGUCAGCAUCCAAGCAUGGUGUUGAAGGAGCCCUCCAGUUUUAUGACAUAGCAGCCGACUGGAGUGAACAGGAGCCGUCAUCCAUUCCCUCUGAGUGCCAAAAAUGUGAGAAGAACGGGCAACGCUGCGCAUUCAGCUCGCAAAAGAACGAAACAUUCUGCUUGUCUCAACCUCAUAAAGGUUCAUGUGUCAAAAUCAUUGCAGCUACAUCAUCUUCAGCCGCAUUUGUUGUUCUUCUGUUGAUGGUAGCCACUGCUCUUUAUCUUUCGCUAAAGACAAGAUACAAUGAAGAGAUACAUUUGAAAGUUGAAAUGUUCCUCAAGACAUAUGGCACAUCAAAACCCACAAGGUACACUUUCUCCGAAAUUAAGAAGAUAACAAGACGGAUCAAGGAUAAAUUAGGACAAGGUGGAUUUGGAAGUGUGUACAAAGGUGAGCUACCAAAUGGAGUUCCUGUGGCGAUCAAGAUGCUGGAGAACUCUAAUGGAGAGGGGCAGGAAUUCAUCAAUGAAGUUGCAACUAUCGGGAGAAUCCACUAUACAAACAUUGUCCGCCUUCUUGGCUUUUGCUCUGAAGGUACAAGAAGGGCUAUUAUUUACGUAUUCAUGUCUAAAGAUUCAUUGGAGAAAUAUAUAUUCUCAGGUAAUUACAUUGUUCCCCGAGAACUCCUGGCACCAGAAAAAAUGCUAGAUAUUGCUUUAGGCAUUGCUAGAGGAAUAGAAUACUUGCAUCAAGGAUGCAAUCAGCGCAUCCUCCACUUGGACAUCAAGCCUCACAAUAUCUUACUGGACUACAGCUUUAAUCCGAAGAACUCAGACUUCGGCCUUGCAAAGUUAUGUGCAAGGGACCAAAGCAUCAUUAUCUUGACCGCAGCAAGAGGCACCAUGGGUUACAUCGCACCAGAACUAUACUCUAGGAACUUUGGAGGGAUAUCCUACAAGUCAGAUGUUUACAGUUUUGGCAUGCUGGUGUUAGAAAUGGUGAGUGGGAGGAGGAACUCAGACCCAAGUGUUGGGAUCCAGAACCAGGUAUAUCUCCCGGAGUGGAUCUAUGAGAAAGUAAUGACUGGAGAGGAACUGGUGCUUACUCUGGAAGUGACACCAGAAGGGCAAGUAAAUAUGAGACAGCUGGCUAUUGUGGCACUGUGGUGUAUUCAGUGGAACCCAAGAAACCGGCCAUCAAUGACAAAGGUGAUAAACAUGUUAUUGGGAAGUUUGCAGGAUCUGCAGGUGCCGCCUAAGCCCUUUGUCCCAUCUGACAAUCGCCGCACGCCAUAA